GACUACGGCCAUGCCACCCAGAACACGCCCGAUCUCGUCUGAUCUCGGAAGUUAAGCAAGGUCAGGCCUGAUUAGUACUUGGAUGGGAGAUCACCUAGUAAUACCAGGUGCUGUAGGCA
rnacentral:rRNA from 1 species